rnacentral:rRNA from 1 species
GGAUCAGACUGUCGGUCGUGCCUCGGUACGCACUGGCAUUAUUGGUUCCUACCUUCUGAAGAACCGCGAUGUCAUUAAUUUGGUGUCGUGGGGAAUCAGGACUGUUACUUUGAAAAAAUUAGAGUGUUUAAAGCAGACUAUCGUCUGAAUACAUUAGCAUGGAAUAAUGAAAUAGGACGUUUGAUUCUAUUUUGUUGGUUUCUAGGAUCGACGUA